rnacentral:piRNA from 1 species
CAAAUACCGCUGUCCAGCCUGCCGCG